rnacentral:lncRNA from 12 species
GAAACAGCGAGCCAGAGCAGGGACUGGCAUCCAUCACUGGGAGGGCAUCGUCUCACAGCUGCCUGCUGCAUACAGCCUUGGAGGUGCCUGCUUGGCUGAGGAUGGAGUAAUCUGGAUGAGCCAUGCAGGGGCUCGGCUGGUCCCACCCUCUCCCAAAAGCCACAGGAUUCUGCAGGAUUAGUGUAGGGGUAGAAGAAGGGACUACAGGUGACCUUGCCCCUGAUAAGUCACAGUUGUACUUACUACCAAAGAAGAGGAAUAGCCUUGCCCUUAAUGGGCUGCAGCUUGGCUAAUGAAAGUAAGUGUGAUAAAAGGGCUGGGUUGGCUGGUUAGGGGGA